GAUGAACGCUGGCGGCGUGCCUAAUACAUGCAAGUCGAGCGAACGGACGAGAAGCUUGCUUCUCUGAUGUUAGCGGCGGACGGGUGAGUAACACGUGGAUAACCUACCUAUAAGACUGGGAUAACUUCGGGAAACCGGAGCUAAUACCGGAUAAUAUUUUGAACCGCAUGGUUCAAAAGUGAAAGACGGUCUUGCUGUCACUUAUAGAUGGAUCCGCGCUGCAUUAGCUAGUUGGUAAGGUAACGGCUUACCAAGGCAACGAUGCAUAGCCGACCUGAGAGGGUGAUCGGCCACACUGGAACUGAGACACGGUCCAGACUCCUACGGGAGGCAGCAGUAGGGAAUCUUCCGCAAUGGGCGAAAGCCUGACGGAGCAACGCCGCGUGAGUGAUGAAGGUCUUCCGAUCGUAAAACUCUGUUAUUAGGGAAGAACAUAUGUGUAAGUAACUGUGCACAUCUUGACGGUACCUAAUCAGAAAGCCACGGCUAACUACGUGCCAGCAGCCGCGGUAAUACGUAGGUGGCAAGCGUUAUCCGGAAUUAUUGGGCGUAAAGCGCGCGUAGGCGGUUUUUUAAGUCUGAUGUGAAAGCCCACGGCUCAACCGUGGAGGGUCAUUGGAAACUGGAAAACUUGAGUGCAGAAGAGGAAAGUGGAAUUCCAUGUGUAGCGGUGAAAUGCGCAGAGAUAUGGAGGAACACCAGUGGCGAAGGCGACUUUCUGGUCUGUAACUGACGCUGAUGUGCGAAAGCGUGGGGAUCAAACAGGAUUAGAUACCCUGGUAGUCCACGCCGUAAACGAUGAGUGCUAAGUGUUAGGGGGUUUCCGCCCCUUAGUGCUGUAGCUAACGCAUUAAGCACUCCGCCUGGGGAGUACGACCGCAAGGUUGAAACUCAAAGGAAUUGACGGGGACCCGCACAAGCGGUGGAGCAUGUGGUUUAAUUCGAAGCAACGCGAAGAACCUUACCAAAUCUUGACAUCCUUUGACAACUCUAGAGAUAGAGCUUUCCCCUUCGGGGGACAAAGUGACAGGUGGUGCAUGGUUGUCGUCAGCUCGUGUCGUGAGAUGUUGGGUUAAGUCCCGCAACGAGCGCAACCCUUAAGCUUAGUUGCCAUCAUUAAGUUGGGCACUCUAAGUUGACUGCCGGUGACAAACCGGAGGAAGGUGGGGAUGACGUCAAAUCAUCAUGCCCCUUAUGAUUUGGGCUACACACGUGCUACAAUGGACAAUACAAAGGGCAGCGAAACCGCGAGGUCAAGCAAAUCCCAUAAAGUUGUUCUCAGUUCGGAUUGUAGUCUGCAACUCGACUACAUGAAGCUGGAAUCGCUAGUAAUCGUAGAUCAGCAUGCUACGGUGAAUACGUUCCCGGGUCU
rnacentral:rRNA from 1 species